rnacentral:misc_RNA from 1 species
AAAACCAACAUUAACGCUUUUCCGUUUAAAUGGGCAAAAAAACGGAUUACAAACGGUUAGUAAACGGAUGCCGUAAAGCGUUUUCACGCUUCGUUAAAACGUUAAAACGGUUCGAUGAAAAAAUUUAACGCUUUCAAGAAAGCGUUUUUACGCUUUGGUGAAAGCGUUUGCACGGAUACGAAUAACCGUUUAAACGCACAGAAAAAUGAACCGUUUUUUUGGAUGGGCCUAUUCAUCCGUAUAAACGGUUUGACGAAUUUAUAUACCCAAUUUCACGGACGAAACCAGACGAUUUGGGGAAUCCUUUGAUCGCAGACCAUGAUACUGGUGUUUAAAUCAAACAACGGUAAAAUAUGUCAACUGUCUGUUGCAUGGGCAUGUUUGAUAUACCGGGAGGGGGGAAAUGAUUAACAGGAAAUUGCAUUCCGGAUAUUAAAUUGUAAUCAUGCAUUUGGCAUGUAUGGUCAUUGCACAUUUGCGCUUUGAAGGCUGUUGCCAGCUAUAUAAAUCGGCGCACGGGAUCGGCGAAGUGAACAAAUAUGAAAUGGCGCCAAUCAAGUUCAUAAGCACGCGGGUAAAGAUCUUUACCAAUAAUUUCGCGAAGUCCUAUCCCAAAUAUUUGCUGGAUAUUCAAAUCUAUGGAUACGUCGAGGUGUUUUAACACGUGCAUAUAAAGGUAUGAACACAUAUUGAUUAAUUUCUAGACUGUAGUGUUUGAUAUAAGGCAUGUUUGAUUAAAAAUACUUUAUGCAUCAGUCGCGCUUGGAAAUAAUUCCCGUCAAGCAUUGAAAUCAGGCCCUAUCGAUGAAAUCAUGAAUCAUCAGAUUUCGUAUUACUGUUGGCUCGAUCAAAACUUUAUUUUUUUUGCCUUGUGUGCAUAUAUAUUUAUUUGUUAAGUGUGUGCAUAUAUAUUUAUUUGUUAAGU